CUGCAUGUUUACAGUGGGGACUGUCCUGUGCACUGUAGGAUGUUUAGAACAUCCCUAUCCUCUAUCCACUGAGUGCCAGGAGCACCCCUUCCUUCAACUGUGAUGACCCAAAAUGUCUGUAGACAUUGCCAGAUGUCCCCUUGAUGGGGUUUCUUAUAAUCCCUUCCAUAUUCGUAUUUUUUCUUCCCUGUAUGCUCCCCCUGUUUAUGCUCCCCCUGUUUAUGCUCCCCCUGUUUAUGCUCCCCCUGUAUGCUCCCCCUGUUUAUGCUCCCCCUGUAUGCUCCCCCUGUUUAUGCUCCCACUGUUUAUGCUCCCCCUGUUUAUGCUCCCCCUGUAUGCUCCCCCUGUUUAUGCUCCCCCUGUAUGCUCCCCCUGUAUGCUCCCCCUGUUUAUGCUCCCCCUGUUUAUGCUCCCCCUGUUUAUGUUCCAUCACACCCAUGGAGACCUAUUUUAAUUCUUUCCAAAUAAUCACCUUUAAAAUUUAUAUUUUCUACUACUUUUUUCUUAUUUUUAUUAAUUUCAGCAAAUGUCUUUAUUGAUUCUCUCUACUUUUAAAAAAUUUUGGCUUUAUUUUCAUAGCCUUUUUUCUAAUUUCUUAAGAUCAAGUAGUUAGUACUGCUUUAGCUAUAUCUCUACAUAUAAAUAUAUCUAGAGAGCAAUUAUUGGAUUGCUUUCUACAUGUAUUUAAU
rnacentral:lncRNA from 1 species